UACGGGGGGGGCAAGCGUUGUUCGGAAUUACUGGGCGUAAAGGGCUCGUAGGCGGCCAACUAAGUCAGACGUGAAAUCCCUCGGCUUAACCGGGGAACUGCGUCUGAUACUGGAUGGCUUGAGUUUGGGAGAGGGAUGCGGAAUUCCAGGUGUAGCGGUGAAAUGCGUAGAUAUCUGGAGGAACACCGGUGGCGAAGGCGGCGUCCUGGACCAACACUGACACUGAGGAGCGAAAGCCAGGGGAGCAAACGGG
rnacentral:rRNA from 1 species